AGGGAUCAUUACUGAGUUACCGCUCUAUAACCCUUUGUGAACGUACCUAACCGUUGCUUCGGCGGGCAGGGGAAGCCUCUCGCGGGCCUCCCCUCCCGGCGCCGGCCCCCACCACGGGGACGGGGCGCCCGCCGGAGGAAACCAAACUCUAUUUACACGACGUCUCUUCUGAGUGGCACAAGCAAAUAAUUAAAACUUUUAACAACGGAUCUCUUGGUUCUGGCAUCGAUGAAGAACGCAGCGAAAUGCGAUAAGUAAUGUGAAUUGCAGAAUUCAGUGAAUCAUCGAAUCUUUGAACGCACAUUGCGCUCGCCAGCAUUCUGGCGAGCAUGCCUGUUCGAGCGUCAUUUCAACCCUCAAGCACCGCUUGGUUUUGGGGCCCCACGGCACACGUGGGCCCUUAAAGGUAGUGGCGGACCCUCCCGGAGCCUCCUUUGCGUAGUAACUAACGUCUCGCACUGGGAUCCGGAGGGACUCUUGCCGUAAACCCCCCCAAUUCUUUACAGGUUGACCUCGGAUCAGGUAGGAAUACCCGCUGAACUUAA
rnacentral:rRNA from 1 species